UGAGGAACAUGACCUUCGGCGGGGGAUAGCCGGCCCAACGGCCGGGUAAUACCGCGUACGACCUUUUGGGGACAUCCCCGAGGGGUGAAAGCAGCAAUGCGCCGAAAGAGUGCCUCGCGGCCUAUCAGCUAGUUGGUGGGGUAAUAGCUCACCAAGGCGAUGACGGGUAGCCGGCCUGAGAGGGUGACCGGCCACACUGGGACUGAGACACGGCCCAGACUCCUACGGGAGCAG
rnacentral:rRNA from 1 species